rnacentral:rRNA from 1 species
GUCGAGAAUCUUUCGCAAUGGGCGAAAGCCUGACGAAGCGACGCCGUGUGAAUGAAGAAGGCCUUCGGGUCGUAAAGUUCUUUCGCAAGGGAACAAGAGAAGGUAGCUAAUAUCUAUUUGAUUUGAGCGUACCUUGUAAAGAAGCACCGGCUAACUCCGUGCCAGCAGCUGCGGUAAUACGGAGGGUGCAAGCAUUAAUCGGAUUUAUUGGGCGUAAAGGGGGCGCAGGCGGGAGCAUAAGUCAGACGUGAAAUCCCGGGGCUCAACCCCGGAACUGCGUUUGAAACUAUGUUUCUUGAGGCAGGGCGGAGAAAACGGAAUUCCACAUGUAGCGGUGAAAUGCGUAGAUAUGUGGAAGAACACCGGUGGCGAAGGCGGUUUUCUAGCUCUGACCUGACGCUGAGGCCCGAAAGCUAGGGGAGCGAACAGG